rnacentral:rRNA from 1 species
GCCAAGCCGUAAAAUUAACUUACACUACUAACGCCAGGGAAUUACGAGCUUUAGCUUAAAACCCAAAGGACUUGACGGUGUCCCAUCCCACUAGAGGAGCCUGUUCUAUAAUCGAUGAUCCACGCUAUACCUAACCAUUUUUUGCUUUUCAGCCUGUAUACCUCCGUCGCAAGCCUACCAUAUGAAUGAAUUAUAGUAGGCUCAAUAGCCUAAACGCUACAACGUCAGGUCAAGGUGCAGCUUAUAAAAUGGAUGAAAUGAGCUACAAUUUCUAAUCUAGAACAAACGAAUUACUAUAUGAAACACAGUCAUAAAGGCGGAUUUAGCAGUAAAUGCGGAAUAGAGAGCCCCAUUAAAUCUGGCCCUGGGACG